UUGUCUGACAAUUCAUCAUUAUAUAGUUCAUUCUAGCUAUCAAUCAUUCAGUACGUCAUAGAAACCAAGCCAAGCCAAACCAGACUCUCCAAUCCUCACUCCGUAUUAUCAAGCCCUCUCGACUCCAACCUACGGUGGCGGCGUUGUACCCCCAAUUUC
rnacentral:ribozyme from 1 species